CAUAUACAUAGCUAGUUGGUGUUCCGACAUGUUUGAAUUCUCGGCGAAGGGUAACCGCAGUCUUACCGGUUCUGUGAACCGCGAUCAAUGCCAACACGAGGUGGCAGCCAGCGACGCUGGCAUAGCUGAUAGCGAAACGACACGCGAUAAAGUAUGGCGUGUUUUUCCAAUGCGAUAAACUCGUGGAAGCGGUAAGGCCCCUUGUUAGCUUAUAAAUCAAACAAUUAUUUGUCGAAAUGUUCUUCGUUGAUUGUAAAUAAAACGCUUUUUACUAUAUUGUUAAUGAUCGCAACCAUUUGUUUUGUGCCUAAUUCGAUACGUCAGUUUCACGGUGUUAAACGGGAAAUACCUCUCAACAGUGGUCGACCGUCCUUGAUUGACCGAGUCAUGUUUUUAUCUAUCAAAAAAAGAAGAAUGUCGUCAACGGUCAGCUGUUUGUGUUAAUUCCAAAAGCGUGUAUCAACAAGACUUCGGACUAAGUAACAUUUUGCUAUGCGAGCGUAUGCAUUCAAAUCGAAUUCAUUGCUCGUUUGACGUGGCCUUGUUCGUUGCGAGGUCGACCCGUGUAGCAAUGUAAAGCCAACAACGUCACGGCGUAGUUGGAUUGCGACAAAAUCUGAGGAAAACGUAGUAGCAGCGCGAGUACGGCGUGAGUCGAGGUUACUUUGACGCGUGACUUGCAAGGUCCCCGCUGCAUUGCCCGAUGCUCCAAGACCGCCGCGUCUGGAUGAGAGCAUUGACUGGUUGGUAAAGGGACAUUGGGCAUACAUUGGCUUUCACUCAGUCGUCGAACGCAUUACUUUGGUUGUAUUUCAAGAACGUGUUCGCAUUUUACCCAAGCGAAUGCUGUCUACCAUGACAGAGAGCAAAAGCUAGAAAGCAUUCGCAAAAUGAAGAUAAUCGUAACUUUUUAAUAUCUGAUUGUUUUGCAUAUCAAAUGAAUACUACGUAUCGUAUUAAUGAUUGAAUUAUUGCAACGUAUAACUAACAUUGUCCAAUAUUGAUUAAAAAAUAUUAAUCCAUAUCAUAUGCUAAUUCAGUGAUGCAGUUAACAGGGUGAUGUAGCUGAAUAAUGAAUUUAAUGAAAUUACUUCUAAAAACUGUCCAAAUACGUCACACGUCCCAAUGUACUCGAAGAAAACAGUGACCAACAUUUUCGCUAAAGUAAUUUCAGUCAUCAUUACGUUUUUGCCAAUAGUUGAACGAAAGCCAAACGCUAGUGUGCUUAACAAAGGAAAUAUUCCCGGGAGAUGUGGCCAGUGUUCAAAUGAGUCACUCUGGGUCACUCCGGUCUGUCCGCGUACACAGUGCUCGUCGAAACGGGACAAAGUUCAAAUAAUGCAAACCCAAAUGGUUUGGUUAUGUCAUUUAUAAUGUAGCUACUUGUUGCGAAUCGAUUUAUACUUGAUACAUUAAUAAUAAUGUCCACUUAAUCGAUUCUGAUGCUAGCGACUCCAUUAAUCGUCGAUGUGGACAUUAUUUACAAAAGAUUUAUUAGAUUACUGUUGAUUUAAAUAAUACAGAAAGAACAGUCAAUAUAAAGCUUAGAAGCACUUCUGCCAAAGAAAAUUUAAAACACAUCGUAGGUGUUGUCUUCUCACGUAACAAAAGGCCAGAGAUUAUAAUUGUUAGGAAACACGAGCUGGGCUAGGUUUACCACAUCGCCUAUUGAUUGAAUGACUAAUAGAAAUAAAAAGCUGUAUUAAACUUAAGUAACCAUCAUAUUUUUAUCCUCUCAAAACGAUGAUAUCAGUAUCAUUUUUUUUAAUAAUUUCUUAUCAUUUUUCUUUCUUAUUCUCUUAUCAUUUUUUUAAAUAAUUUCUCAUUAAUAAUUGAAAAUAAAAAAAAAACAAUCAAAAGUCAUUGAAUUUGAAGAUGAAAAAGAAGAUGCAUGUGACUAAGAGAUGUAAGGAAAUGGUAGUGGAAGGUAGAGGGGGAAGAGGUCGAUCGAAGAAGACAUGGAUGGAGUGUAUGAAUGACGAUUUAAGAGAGAGAGAGGAGUGAGUGUUGAGAUGACGGCUGAUGGAAUGGGUUAGUUCUGCCGACCCCACCUGGUGGGAUAAGGUGGAGAAAAAGAAUAAGAUUAAAAUUGAAUUUAAGUGCAAUGUGUACUUCACUGGAGUUACGUGAGCAAACAAAUGGGCAGUAUUGUACUAAAAAAUAAGGUGGAUAAUUUGCACAGGAUUGCAUAAGUCAAUCAAUAUUUUUGCGAAUUAGCAAUUUCGUCAUUUUAAGUUAGUAGGACAUAUUAUAAGGACAUAAACUGUUUUUUUGGUGUAUGAUACGAAGAAUAUUCGAGUCUGUUCUUCGAGAGUUGUUUGAGAUUUUUGUAUCAAACAUAUUAUUGUUUUAAAAUGGAAAAUAGCAUAAGUAUGUACAUUCUACGAUUAUAAUCGUUGGUCUAUGUUUAUAUACCAAAGGAGAGCUAAAGUAUUGAUUUUUCUUUCUCAUAUUGGAGAUUACAGAUUCGAGAAUAGUCUGUAGUAUUAUGGUUGUAUAUAGGGAGAAAAGGCUCACGGAACAUCUGGAGCUAAGAUGUGUUACAUUGUUAUAGCCGCUUGAUAGUCUUCCAGCGUCAGAAUAUGAAAAUAUGGUUUAAAUAUGUGUAUAUUAUAAGUAAUAAAAUGAACAGACUUUUGAAGUCAA